GACGAACGCUGGCGGCGUGCCUAAUACAUGCAAGUAGGACGCAGUUGCGAACGGGUGAGUAACGCGUAGGUAACUACCUCUUAGAGGGGGCUAACUAAUGGAAACGAUAGCUCAUACCGCAUACUAGUAGAUGGACCUGCGUUGUAUUAGGUAGUAGGUAGGGUAAUUGCAUACCUAGGAAACGAUACAUAGCCGAGCUGAGAGGGUGAUCGGCCACACGGGGACUGAGACAGCGCCCACACUGCGACGGGGAGCAGCAGUAGGGAAUCUUCGGCAAUGGGAGGAACCCUGACCGGGCAACGCCGGGGGGGUGGAGAAGGUUUUCGGACGGUAAAGAGCUGGUGGUAAGGAAGCGGUACUUAACCAGAAAGGCACGGCUAACUACGUGCCAGCAGCCGCGGUAAUUC
rnacentral:rRNA from 1 species